AGGGCAGUAGCUCAGUUGCAGAUGGGUUCUGUAGUGGUAGAGCAUCUGCUUUGCAUGCAGAAGGUCCUAGGUUCAAUCCCCAGCAGCUCUA